rnacentral:rRNA from 1 species
GGCUGGGGGAUGCUUACCAUGCAGUCGAGCGGCAGCAUGCCCUUCGGGGUGAUGGCGAGCGGCGGACGGGUGAGUAAUACAUAGGAAUCUGCCCUAGAGUGGGGGAUAGCCCGGGGAAACUCGGAUUAAUACCGCAUAAUCUCUACGGAGCAAAGUGGGGGAUCUUCGGACCUCACGCUUUAGGAUGAGCCUAUGGCCGAUUAGCUUGUUGGUGAGGUAACGGCUCACCAAGGCCACGAUCGGUAGCUGGUUUGAGAGGAUGAUCAGCCACACUGGGACUGAGACACGGCCCAGACUCCUACGGGAGGCAGCAGUGGGGAAUAUUGGACAAUGGGCGAAAGCCUGAUCCAGCAAUUCCGCGUGUGUGAAGAAGGCCUUAGGGUUGUAAAGCACUUUAAUCAGGGAAGAAAAAGCUUUGGCUAAUAUCCAAAGCCUUGACGGUACCUGAAGAAUAAGCACCGGCAAACUCUGUGCCAGCAGCCGCGGUAAUACAGAGGGUGCGAGCGUUAAUCGGAUUUACUGGGCGUAAAGCGUGCGUAGGAGGCUUGUUAAGUCGGUUGUGAAAUCCCCGGGCUCAACCUGGGAACUGCAGUCGAUACUGGCAAGCUAGAGUUCGGUAGAGGGUGGUGGAAUUUCCGGUGUAGCGGUGAAAUGCGUAGAGAUCGGAAGGAACACCAAUGGCGAAGGCAACCACCUGGGCCUGAACUGAC